rnacentral:lncRNA from 1 species
GGGAUACUUGUUGUAAACCAACUUAGAUUGCUUUCCAUGUAAUAACCGACUAGGAUUAGAUCCUAUCAGACUUGUGACCCUAGGUCGUCAGCCUAUAUAAGGUGACCAGGGACACCCCCCGAGGGUAAGGCAACUCAAUCCAACGCAUCUCAACUCUUGGUAUCGCAUACCAGCAAUACAAUCUACCAGAACACAGGACGUAGGGUAUUACUCUCUGGAGGCCCAAACCUAUAUAAAAUCUUGCAUCUUUGUGUUACCAUUCGAGUUCUUGGUCUUACGAUCUCCCCCACCUACAAAUCUACCGCCUAGGUACCACCCUGGUGGACUGCCAGUCACUAAAUCCGAC